rnacentral:rRNA from 1 species
CUGAAGACUUUACCAGACACGCUGAGAGGUGGUGCAUGGCCGUCGCCAGCUCGUGCCGUGAGAUGUCCUGUUAAGUCAGGUAAUGAGCGAGACCCCUGCGUCUAGUUGCUACCAUUACUCUCUGGAGCAGUGGAGCGAAUUAGACGGACCGCCACAGUUAAUGUGGAGGAAGGAAGGGGCCACNNNAGGUCAGUAUGCCCCGAAACCCUAGGGCUACACGCGGGCUGCAAUGGUAUUGACAAUGUGUUCCGAAUCCGAAAGGAGGAGGCAAUCAUCAAACAAUAUCUCAGUUAUGACUGAGGGCUGUAACUCG